rnacentral:rRNA from 1 species
GACGAACGCUGGCGGCGUGCCUAACACAUGCAAGUCGAACGGACGGGCCAGAAGUUUGCGGUUCUGAUGUUAGCGGCGGAGGGGUGAGUCACACGUGGAUAACCUACCUAUCAGACGGGGAUCACUUCGGGAAAGCGGAGCUUAUACCGGAUAAUAUUUUGAACCGUAUGGUUCGAAAGUGAAAUACGGUCUUGCUGGCACUUCUAGAUGGAUCCGCGCUGCAUGAGCUAGUUGGUACGGUAACGGCUUACGAAGGCGAGGAUGCAUAGCCGACCUGAGAGGGUGAUCGCCCACACGGGAGGUGAAACACGGACCAGACUCCGACGAGAGGCCCCAGUCGCGAAUCGUAGGCAAUGGGGGGGAGCGUGACAGAGCAGCGGGGGGUGAGUGAUGACAGCCUUCGGAUCGGAAAACUGUGUUACUGGUGGAAAACCUAUGUGUAAGUAACUGAGCCGAUCGUGACGGUACCUAGUCAAGAAGCCCCGGCUAACUACGUG